rnacentral:rRNA from 1 species
UACGAGAACGAACGCUGGCGGCAUGCCUAACACAUGCAAGUCGAACGAGACCUUCGGGUCUAGUGGCGCACGGGUGCGUAACGCGUGGGAAUCUGCCCUUAGGUUCGGAAUAACUUCGGGAAACUGAAGCUAAUACCGGAUGAUGACGUUAGUCCAAAGAUUUAUCGCCUAAGGAUGAGCCCGCGUUGGAUUAGCUAGUUGGUGAGGUAAAGGCUCACCAAGGCGACGAUCCAUAGCUGGUCUGAGAGGAUGAUCAGCCACACUGGGACUGAGACACGGCCCAGACUCCUACGGGAGGCAGCAGUGGGGAAUAUUGGACAAUGGGCGAAAGCCUGAUCCAGCAAUGCCGCGUGAGUGAUGAAGGCCUUAGGGUUGUAAAGCUCUUUUACCCGGGAUGAUAAUGACAGUACCGGGAGAAUAAGCUCCGGCUAACUCCGUG